UUCUUGUAGGCUUUGUGACCAGGGGGAUUAGCGCUGCUUUCCCAAGACAGGUUUAUAUGUGAUUAUGAUCUUCAGGCUUUGCCUAAUCAGGUUGGCUGGCCGGUGCUGACGGGACGGAGCUGAGGCUAGAGUUAAAUUCCUAUGUUAGACUUCCGCUGUAGCAAUUACUCAUUUCAGUCUUUUGUUUUUCCAACUUAAGAUCUUCAUGUUAAAUUUCAAAUGAUAUAUUUGACCGAGCUUAGACUCUUCAUUACUAAAUUUAUGCCAAUGAAUGUCGGUUGUCAGAAGCAUGAAACAAAACUUGUGAUCCAAAGGGGCAUAGCCCGACUCUCUAUCUUAUUAUUCGGGUUUAAACAAGGUUGUUCCUUGUUUAUUUCUA